GACGAACGCUGGCGGCGUGCUUAACACAUGCAAGUCGAACGAUGAACCCGGAGCUUGCUCCGGUGGAUUAGUGGCGAACGGGUGAGUAACACGUGAGUAACCUGCCCUUGACUCUGGGAUAACUGCGGGAAACUGUAGCUAAUACCGGAUACGACCCUCGGCGGCAUCGCCAGGGGGUGGAAAGAAUUUCGGUCAAGGAUGGACUCGCGGCCUAUCAGCUAGUUGGUGAGGUAAAGGCUGACCAAGGCGACGACGGGUAGCCGGUCUGGGAGGGUGACCGGCCACACUGGAACUGAAACACGGCCCAGACUCCUACGGGAGGCAGGGGUGGAGAAUAUUGCACAAUGGGAGCAAGCCUGAUGCAGCAACGCCGCGUGAGGGAUGACGGCCUUCGGGUUGGAAACCUAUUUCAGCAUCGACGAAGCGAAAGUGACGGUAGGUGCAGAAGAAGGAUCGGCCAACUACGUGCCAGCCGCCGCAGUAA
rnacentral:rRNA from 1 species